UGGGGAAUAUUGGUCAAUGGGCGCAAGCCUGAACCAGCCACGCCGCGUGAGUGAUGAAGGCCUUCGGGUUGUAAAGCUCUGUGGGGAGGGAAGAAAACGGCAGGUAAGAAACGACCUGUCCUUGACGGUACCUCCUUAGCAAGCACCGGCUAACUCUGUGCCAGCAGCCGCGGUAAUACAGAGGGUGCGAACGUUGCUCGGAAUUACUGGGCGUAAAGCGCAUGUAGGCGGGUCGGCAAGUCAGAUGUGAAAUCCCCGGGCUCAACCCGGGAACUGCAUCUGAAACUGCUGGUCUUGAGUACUGGAGAGGGUGGCGGAAUUCCUGGUGUAGAGGUGAAAUUCGUAGAUAUCAGGAGGAACACCGGUGGCGAAGGCGGCCACCUGGACAGUAACUGACGCUGAGAUGCGAAAGCGUGGGGAGCAAA
rnacentral:rRNA from 1 species